rnacentral:tRNA from 1 species
UGCCGAGUGGACGACUGGGAAAGUCGCGCUCGUCUCUGAAUCAUAGAGAUGUUGGUUCAACUCCAACCUCGGCAG